CAUGAAUCAGGUAAGAAGCCAGACUGCUGAGGCAGAGUAGGGGGGAAGGAGGCACAAGGGCCUUGCACUCCAGCAAAGAUGGUAGAGAUGGGGAAGCAUUCGGGCUGGACAGGAGAGACCCAGGUUCCAGGCGCAGUGUGAAGCCUCAGCAGACCCCAGUUUCAGAGGUUUGAGGAAGGAAAAUCAACAGACACCCCGGGUAUGAAGUAGGGGCCAGGUUGUGGGCUCUGCCUCUGGGGACAGGGCAGAUCCCUUCCUGCUUUAUUUGUGAGCCACCUCAACAGGACCCAGGCCAUCUGCAGGUACUAGUGGCCUAGCUGGGUAGUCUUUCCUGAGGUCUCACCUCAGGCCUUUGUGCUGCUGCUGUUGCUUCUGGCCUUGAGCCUGAGAGAGAGGUGAGAGGAAGGAUGCUUUCUCUAACUUGGGCUCCUCCAAUCUCUGGUUGCAAAGCUGGGGUUGGGGGAGAGAGGACCACCCAACCUGCCCUGUACAAGCAUCAGUAAGACUCCAAGUUUCCCAGGGCCCGAACACUUGGGGGUUGUCUCUCAACACCCGGCUGGAAGACAAGUAGGUAACCAGGUUCAGCCCCACCUGCCAAGAACACUGUGUUUUGGGCCUGGCAGAGCUGCUACUCCCCCUCUCCCUCCUAAGAAUGCCCAGAGAAUCACUUGCCAAGGCUACUCCUGGAGCUCAGCUGUGGGAUCAGGGUUUGGGCUGAGGAUCAGGUGCCUGUGUGCACACAUGUGCACAUGUGUGUGCCAAUGGGUGGUAGGGAUUGAGCCCGUUGUGAGAACAUCCAGCCAGGUUGGAAGUGUGUACAGGUAUCUGAGGGUGUGCACGUGAGCAAGAGGGUGUGCAAGAUGUGGGUGACUGUUGGGACCACAGAGCUGAGGCCUGUGGUCAGCUCAGGUCAGAACUGGGAGGUCUGUUUCCCUUGGGAGGACCUGUCUGCUCUGAGGGGGACCCGGACAAGUGCACAUAUGCAUGUGUGUGUCUACACACACACACACACACACACACACACACACACACACACAUAUGCUUGCCUCCCUCUCCAAGGCAGACUUGCCUGGGAAGUACCCCUCCUCAGCAGGAGCUCGAAGACCCCUGCCCAGUGCUGUUUUCAGUAGAGGGAGUGGAGCUGAGAUGGGGAGACCGUACUGAGCGGUCCAGGAGUAGGGAAACAGAGCUGCUUUGCAGCUUCUGUUCCAGAAGAUGGGGGUUGGGGGGCGGGGUUGAGGGCCAGGGGUGGGAGCAGGAGCAGAACAGAAAGCCUCCCUGCUCACUGGCCUUUCCCCUUCCCUCACUGGCUGCCCAUGGAGCCAGGAUCAGCAUGGGAACAAUCAAGGAGGCAGGGGCUUAUCAGUACUAUGGACCCCUACACUGGCUCUGCCUGGUGGUUCUUCUCUUCGCAUACCAAAGACAGAAAUUAAGCCUCCAAGAGUGGUAACUGACCUCGGUCACACUUGGUGGGUGUGGGAAAGGAUUCAAAUGUAGGUCUGUUCUCUUCUUCAUCUAUCAUGGUCCCUGUCCUGGAGGCAAGUCGUCUGGGGCUCAGAAAACACCCCUGUUGCCACUGAUUGGAAUUCCAAGGGUCUGGGUGAAGUGGGGAUGGGCCUCCAGCUUGCCUCCAGCCUGAAAAAAUAGUAGAGGGUGUUGAGGCUGGGAAGGGAGGUGGGGCUCAUGUUGUACAGGGCCUGAGCCAGGGAGCUUGGGCUUCAUUCUGAGUACUGUGGCAGCCCUGGGAAGGUUUGUAGCACAGAGGGAUAUUGUCAUUUUUGGAAAGAUCCCUUUGGCUGCUUAGGUAGAGAAGGGCUUCAAGAGGGCAGGAAGGGACAGGACUACAGAAGGGGCUGCUUCAGAGUCCAGAUUAAGGAAGGAGAGGCCUGGGCAGUCAGAAAGGAAGAGAAGCCGGAUGUGGUGGCUUGUAUCUUCAAUCCCAGCACUUUGAGAGGCCAAGGUGGGAGGAUCACUUGAGCCCAGGAGUUCAAAACCAGCUUGGGCAACAUAGUGAGACUCCCAUCUCUCCAAAAAAAUUUAAAAACCAGCCAGGUAGACUGGGCGCAGUGGCUCACGCCUGUAAUCCCAGAACUUUGGGAGGCCGAGGCAGGCAGAUCACGAGGUCAAGAGUUAGAGACCAGCCUGACCAACAUGGUGAAACCCCGUCUCUACUAAAAAUACAAAACUUAGCCAGGCCUGUGGUGAUGCGCACCUGUAGUCUCAGCUACUCAGGAGGCUGAGGCAGGAGAAUCGCUUGAACCCGGGAGGCAGAGGUUGCACUGAGCUGAGAUCACGCCACUGCACUCCAGCCUGGGCAACAGAGUGAGACUCCGUCUC
rnacentral:lncRNA from 10 species